ensembl:lncRNA
AUUGGAGUCCGAGUCUUGGCAUGUCACGUACAGCUCUGGGUCGUGGGGCGAGUCACGUCCCUUUUCUGAGCCCUGGUUUCCUCGAGCAUUCCAUGGAGGGGAUGCUACGCUCCCCGUCAGGUUGAGCUCGACGAUGUGUGUGGGGUGCUGAGCAGGUGCCUUUGACAGUGGUUCCUCCUGCCGUGGGAGCUGCUCCGCCUGCGGGCUUCUUGAGGGUGGCGACCGAACUCAGUCCUAGAGCUUGGAAAGCCGCUCGGUGUGGGGUGAGUGGGGACAGUUAGGCAGUCUCCCUGCACUGGGUUCUCCAUAAGGGUUUGUAGGAUGGAUAAUGGAUAUGGGGGAGAGGUGGGACAUGGAUCAGCAGGAGCAGGCGCCCCGCAGAUUGAGAGGAGGUCUUGGUCUUUUUAGGGCCACACCCACGGCAUAUGGAAGUUCCCAGGCUAGGGGUCGAAUCAGAGCUGUAGCCACCAGCCUACGCCAGAGCCACAGCAACGGGGGAUCCAAGCCGCGUCUGCAACCUACACCACAGCUCACGGCAACGCCGGAUCGUUAACCCACUGAGCAAGGGCAGGGACCGAACCCGCAACCUCAUGGUUCCUAGUCGGAUUCAUUAACCACUGCACCACUACGGGAACUCCUCUUUUUUUUUAAAAGAGGGUUUCAGGCCCAUUCAAGUGUGGAUCUGCCCCUGCUCAGACCAGGGGUGCUUUGUGCCAGGAGGUUGGUGCCACCUUGCUGUGUGUCCUCAGGGAGGUUUCAUCCCAUUGUGAGCCUGGUCGUAGGUUAGAGCCCUCCCUGCCGAGGUGGGACCCAACAGGCCUCAGGGGAACCAGUUCUGGGCCAUGCCAGGCCCUCAGCUCCUGCUAGUUGUGUCAGUAAGACUGGAAAGGCCUCUCUGCCUCAACCUUACUCAUCUGUGAAAUGGACACUCUCCCUACCUGAAAAGGCUGUAGAAAGGCUUAAAUAAUCUACCAGGGAUGAACCUGCCUGGUACAGCGCCAGGCUUGGGUGGGAGCUCAGUAAGUGUUGCUGGGAGCUGGAUGGAGUUGGCUCGGGAAGCCCAUCCCUGCCUUGUGAUGGAGCCAGUUCUGCUGACUGUCAGAUUCACCUGUGCUCUGCUGUGCCUGGUGCUGGGCGCUGGGUGUGGGGAUGUGGUUGCUGGGCCAGGGUGGGUGGUCUGAUGAGCCAAGAGGGUGAGAGUGGUUAUAGGCUGUGAAGUAUGGCUCUCCGGGAAGAGGCCCUUUUGGGGGGGAGGGUCAAGUGUCAGCCACACUGUCCCUUCCUGCUCCUGGAGGAGAGGUGGUAGGGGUGUGGGAGGGUGAGGAGCCUGGCCAGGUUUGUGCCUGGACAGGCUGAGCGGACCUUUCCUGCUCAGAAAGGAAGCCAGGCCCGCAGGGUAUGCUUUUCCCGCUGCAGGUUCUGGGAAGGGCAGCUUCGUGGUCACCUCCUGCCCCUCCCAGCCUCAAACCCCAGUGCCCCCUCAGGGAGGGGAGGGAGGAGGGGCCUGGGGCAGGGGCUAGGAGGGACAUGGGCUUUGGUGUCAGGCCAAGUUUCAAAUCCCACCUCUGUUGCUUUGUUAUGUCUGUGACCUUGAGGCAGUUAUGUAUCAUCUUUCUGAGUUUUUCUCAGUUUUCUCACCUUCAAAAUGGGAGUGAUAGUAUCCUCUGCCAACACGCCAGGCUUGUGAUCAGGCCCGUGUGAGAUCAUGUAGGGCUUAGAACAGUGCCUGGCACACGGUGGGUGCUCAAUAAAUGCUGAUUGUCCUUCUCUUCUGCCCCAUGACCUUCAUCAGUGCCUGGUACUCUACUCGUUUAGCCAUCUGUGUGUGCCCGCGGCUGGACUGCAGGCUCCCUGCGGGCAGGGGCUGUGGUUUUUCCUCCAUCAUCACGCUCCAGCCCUCCAGGGUACCCUUCGUACAUCUUGAAUUGGUUGGCGAGAAACGGCAUCAGCCCAAAGGAGAGAGCAAUAAGUUUUAGCCAGAAACUCACUGUGCACCUACUAUGGUCCUGCCUGAGGCCUAUUGUGUGCUCUCUGCCCGGUGGAGCUUGAGUGGCUGCUCGUAACUUGCUGGGACCCUCUGUACCAGUGGCUUUGUUUUCUUCUGCGCACUUAGCGCUCCUGUAGUCAAACCACUGUUUGGUUAAGCCUCCAAGCUCGGCCUCUCCCCACUGGAAUGCAGGGACCACCGGAACUGCGUCUCCAGGUCCCAGCGCUUGGCACAGGACACACACAUAUUUUUGGUGGCUGUCCUUUUCUUUCCCUUCUCUGAAUUCAGGCCAGGUCAUCCCUCGCAGCCCAGCUGCUUUGUCACUGGGGUGAGUGAGUCACCCUGCCUCUUUCAGCUUCAGCUUCCUCAUCUUUAAAAUGGGUAUAAUGGGGAGUUCCCUUUGUGGCUCGGUGGUUAAAGAACCCAACCAGGAACAGCGAGGAUGCGGGUUUGAUCCCUGGCCUCACUCAGUGGGUUAAGAAUCCGGCGUUGCUGUGAGCUGUGGUGUAGGCCGGCAGCUGUAGCUCCUUUGACCCCUAGCCUGGGAACUUCCAUAUGCCGCAGGUGCGGCCCUAAAAAGAAAUCAAAUCACAUCAAAUAAAGUGGGCAUCCUGGGGGGGUCCCAGACAAUCCAGGGCUCAGCCGUGCCAGGCACAAGGGAAGCUCCUCCCCCCCGCCCCCCGCCCCGGUCACUCGGCUCCUGUUUUGCAAAUGAUUUCCAAGAGUUGUUCCACUUCUGACCUCAGGGACCUCGCAGCGUCCCGUCCGGCUGGGGGGAGCCUGGGGAGAACAUUCCCUUCCUUGCAGACCCUCUCUGCUGGUCUCACAAUGGGUUUGGAGCUCUGUGCAAACUGUUUAUGUUUCCCCAGCAGAGUUUAUUGCCCAACCGGGCCUUCUGCAAUUAAUUACAAGCAGAGCAAAUAGCUUGUCCCCGGGAGGCUGGGCUUGGCGUAAACAUUUACAUCCAGCCGGGGGCCAGCCCGGGGGCCAGCCGAGGGGCCAGGCUCCUUCCUCCAGACUUUGGAACAGAGAAGGAUUAGAGGACUAGGGCUGGGGGGUUGGGGGGGAUGGGCUGGGGUGGGCUGGGGUGCCAAAGAGAAACAGCUUUUCUUCAUCCGCUUUUCCUGGACGCCUCUGCAGUCCUGGAGGUGCUGGACAUGUGCUUUUUCUUCUCAUCUUCCUCUGUACCCCACAAGGAGAGCCCCUCUUUGCAGACGAGGAAGUGGAGGCUCAGCUGCAUUAAGGAAUGCGCCCAAGGACACACCGCUUGUAGGAACGGCAGGAUCUGAGGGUGUCCAAGGCAGCUCAGUGGAGAACCAUAGACUAAAGAGGGGGUGACUGUUGGGAGGUCACCAAGGGGGUGCUCCUUUGACUGUUCAUUCGCUCAUUCCUCACCUAAGGGUUGGGCCCCUGUCAGGGGUGAAGAGGGCCUGGGGAGGCAGCGUGAUUAUUAGUGACUAGCCUGAGACGUGGCCCCCACACUGGAUGCUGGAAACGCCCUCGGCAUGGUCCCAUUAACAGGCUACCAUUGGCUGGAGGAGGCUUCUCGAAAGGCUGGGAAGGGGGCGGCCCCUCUGGGUCUCUCAUGGUCAUAGCCACCCCAUCGUAAGCAAAGAGACGGCGCGAAUGGAGGUAGUCUCCAGCAGAAAGGGCUGCCUCACGCAUCCCAACGCAGGGAUUCAGGCGGGCAUAGUGGGGCCCCUGGCAAAGCGCUGCUUCUAGUGCAUUUAUGUCUAAGGGGUUAAUGACUGGCAGGGGAGCCCUCACUGCUGGCCUGAUUCUGGCUCCACCUCUGGCUGUGAGUUCUCUGUUUGCUUGUUUUCUUCUUCUGCUUUUUUUUUUUUUUUUGGUCUUCUUAGGACCACACCUGCGGUAUAUGGAGGUUCCCAGGCUUGGCAUCCGAGCCGCAUCUGCAACCUACACCAUAGCUCACGGCAGCGCCGGAUCCUUAACCUACUGAGCAAGGCCAGGGAUCGAACCUGUGUCCUCAUGGAUGCUGGUCAGAUUCGUUGCUACUGCGCCACGAGGGGCGCUCCGAGUUCUGUGUGUUCUGAAGGCCCUUUUGGCCCAACAGUCCCUCGUCCAUGCUGCAGUCCCGCUGUGCAGAUAGAUUUCUGGAGCCGUCUGCUGGGGGUCAUCUCUCUAUGCCGGAGGAAAGCUGAGACCUGGGAGGACAAGGUACCUGUUUUGAUGCGGCGGGCCUGGAUGCUGGACCCUCUGGGCUGGGCGGGUGCUCAGGCCUGAGGCUUCAGGCCAGGCUGGAGACUGGGGCUCCGCCGAAGCCAUCUAUUCUAUGUCACCAGCUCACAGCCCAGAGCCUGGUGUGUGGUAACUGAUGCCCGAGAGAGGUGUGACGGGGGGAGAGUGAAUGGCUGGUGGGACAUGCGGACGUAGGGAAGGACACUCUUGUCUGGGAGGCAGGGGCUGUCAGUCCAAGUCCCUGUCUCUGCCAUGAACGAAUCUUAGUGUCCCCGUCUGGGAACCAAGAGAACAACAGUCUUCACCCCCAAGGUCGUGGUGAGAGGAUCAAAGGCAGCAGGAGACUGUUCACAGUGGACAAAAAGUACAAACAGAUGGCCCCAAUGUCCAUCGGUGGCUGCAUGGGUAAACAAGUUGUGGUCUCUCUAUUCCGUGGAGUAUUAUUCAGCCGUAAAAAAGAAUGAAGUAUUGGUGUGUUGUAACAUGAGUGAACUUUGGAAAUGCUGUGUUAUGUGUAAGAAACCAGACACAGAGGUUACAUUGUGCGACUCCCUUUAUAUGAAAUAUUUGGAAUAGGUAUGUUCACAGCUGUAGAAAGCUGAUGGUGGUGCUGGCUGGGGGCUGGGCGGAGGGGAGGCUGGGAGAAGAAACCGCUUAGGAGUGAUGGAUUUUACUGUGGCGUGAUGGACCUGUUUUGGAUCUAGGUAGAGGUGGGGCUUUUAUACAACAUAGUGAAUCUAAUACAUGCCACUAAUUGUUCACUUUAAAAUGGUAAAUUUCAUGUUAUGGGAAUUUUACCUCCAUAAAUUAUGUCUUUAAAUUGCUAAAAAAAAAAAAAAAAAAAAAAAAA